rnacentral:rRNA from 1 species
AGAGUUGAUCAUGGCUCAGGAGAAACGCUGGCGGCGCACAUAAGACAUGCAAGUCGAACGGAACUUAGCCAAAUGUUACAUGAGGCGAAAGUUAGUGGCGGACGGGUGAGUAACACGUGAGCAACCUGCCUUAAGAGGGGGAUAACAUUGAGAAAUCAGUGCUAAUACCGCAUAAAGCAUAUUAGCCGCAUGACUGAUAUGCCAAAGGAGAAAUCCGCUUAGAGAUGGGCUCGCGGCUGAUUAGUUAGUUGGUGGGGUAACGGCCUACCAAGACGAUGAUCAGUAGCCGAGCUGAGAGGCACAACGGCCACAUUGGGACUGAGACACGGCCCAGACUCCUACGGGAGGCAGCAGUCGGGAAUAUUGCACAAUGGGGGAAACCCUGAUGCAGUGACGCCGCGUAUAGGAAGAAGGUCUUUGGAUUGUAAACUAUUGUCGACAGGGGAGAAAAAAUGACAGUACCUGUGGAGGAAGCCCCGGCAAACUACGUGCCAGCCGCUGC